rnacentral:rRNA from 1 species
CGCCAGCAGCCGCGGUAAUACGUAGGGAGCAAGCGUUGUCCGGAAUCAUUGGGCGUAAAGCGCGCGUAGGCGGCCCCGUAAGUCCGCUGUGAAAGUCAAAGGCUCAACCUUUGAAAGCCGGUGGAUACUGUGGGGCUAGAGUCCGGAAGAGGCGAGUGGAAUUCCUGGUGUAGCGGUGGAAUGCGCAGAUAUCAGGAGGAACACCAAUAGCGAAGGCAGCUCGCUGGGACGGUACUGACGCUAAGGCGCGAAAGCGUGGGGAGCGAACAGGAUUAGAUACCCUGGUAGUCCACGCCGUAAACGAUGGGCACUAGGUGUGGGAGGUGUCGACUCCUCCCGUGCCGUCGCUAACGCACUAAGUGCCCCGCCUGGGGAGUACGGCCGCAAGGCUAAAACUCAAAGGAAUUGACGGGGGCCCGCACAAGU